AUGGAUAUCAUGGGCUGGAUCUUCAUUGCUGCUCUUUUAAAAGGUGUCCAAUCUGAGGUGCAGCUGGUGGAGUCCGGGGGAGGCUUGGCACAGCCUGGAAGUUCCCUAAAAGUCUCUUGUGCAUCCUCUGGAUUUACUUUCAGUAAUGCGUGGAUGAACUGGGUCCACCAGACUCCAGGGAAGGGGCUGGAGUGGGUUGCACAAAUUAGAGACAAAGGUAAUAAUUAUGCAACAUACUAUGGGGAGUCCGUGAAAGGAAUAUUCACCAUCUCAAGAGAGGACUCCAAAAGCAGCGUAUAUCUGCACAUGAACAGCUUAAGAGAAGACACUGCCAUUUAUUUCUGUUUGCACAAAAUGCCCUACAGUGGUCACUGGGGUCAAGGCUAA